UACAGGGGGCUCGAGCGUUCGUCGGAAUCACUGGGCUUAAAGGGUGCGUAGGUGGCUCGCCAAGUGUUUUGUGAAAUCCCACAGCUCAACUGUGGAACAGCAGGGCAAACUGGCGAGCUUGAGGCAGGUAGGGGCCGGAAGAACAGUUGGUGGAGCGGUGAAAUGCGUAGAUAUCAACUGGAAUGCCGAUGGGGAAGCCGUCCGGCUGGGCCUGUCCUGACACUGAGGCACGAAAGCGUGGGGAGCAAACAGG
rnacentral:rRNA from 1 species